GAAAGUUACUUCGGUACAUCGGUGACGAGGUGGUGCAUGGUUGUCGUCAGCUCGUGUCGUGAGAUGUUCGGUUAAGUCCGCUAACGAGCGCAACCCUCGCCGUAUGUUACAAGUGUCAGUACGGGACUGCCGGUAAAAGCCGGAGGAAGGUGAGGAUGAUGUCAAGUCAGCAUGACCUUUAUAUCCAGGGCUACACACACGCUACAAUGGUCUGUACAAUUGGUUGCCAAGCCGCGAGGCGGAGCCAAUCCGUAAAGCAGGCCUCAGUUCAGAUUGCAGUCUGCAACUCGACUGCAUGAAGCCGGAGUUGCUAGUAACCGCAGGUCAGCAAUACUGCGGUGAAUACGUUCCCGGGUCUU
rnacentral:rRNA from 1 species